GUAAGCAUGUGGCAGGGGAGAUACCAUUACUGUAUUGUAAAAGUGGUUUUCCCAGGGUAAGGCUCAUCUAUUGCACUUUGGAUGUGCUGACCCCUAUGAUUUCCCCAAAUGUGGGAAAAUCAACUGCCUAAGUGGGGAACUGUGUUUGCAGUUUCUCC
rnacentral:snRNA from 1 species